GGGUGCGAUCGUACCAGCACUAAUGCACCGGAUCCCAUCAGAACUCCGAAGUUAAGCGUGCUAGGGCGAGAGUAGUACUAGGUUAGGUGACCUCCUGGGAAGUGCUCGUGUUGCACCCC
rfam:Eucalyptus grandis cultivar BRASTZ1 unplaced genomic scaffold scaffold_3076, whole genome shotgun sequence.